GGAAAUGUAUCGAAGAGGCCAUAACGAGGCGCACUCGAAAUGCGUUUGUCCUUUUAUAGGGGCACAUGGGUUCGAAUCCCAUCAUUUCCG
rnacentral:tRNA from 3 species